GACGAACGCUGGCGGCGUGCUUAACACAUGCAAGUCGAACGAUGAAGCCGGAGCUUGCUCCGGCGGAUUAGUGGCGAACGGGUGAGUAACACGUGAGUAACCUGCCCUUGACUCUGGGAUAAGCGUUGGAAACGACGUCUAAUACCGGAUACGAACCUCGACGGCAUCGUCUGCGGUUGGAAAGAAUUUCGGUCAAGGAUGGACUCGCGGCCUAUCAGCUUGUCGGUGAGGUAAUGGCUCACCAAGGCGACGACGGGUAGCCGGCCUGAGAGGGUGACCGGCCACACUGGAACUGAGACACGGUCCAGACUCCUACGGGAGGCAGCAGUGGGGAAUAUUGCACAAUGGGCGAAAGCCUUAUGCAGCAACGCCGCGUGAGGGAUGACGGCCUUCGGGUUGUAAACCUCUUUUAGCAGGGAAGAAGCGAAAGUGACGGUACCUGCAGAAAAAGCACCGGCUAACUACGUGCCAGCCGCCGCCGUAA
rnacentral:rRNA from 1 species